CGUUGCAAAGGAAAUUUAACUACAUGUCAUCCACAAAGCCUUCAAUAAGGUCGAUUUUCCCAUUUUAGAGUUAAAAAUCUAUAUCCAUACUCCCUAGAGAGGUUGGCACCCUCCAUCGAUGUAUUUCUUGGAGUCAAGGUCCCAUUGCAAAGGAAAUUAAACUACAUAUCAAUCACAAAGCCUUCAAUAAGAUCGAUUUUCCCAUUCCCGAGU